UACCAGCUCCGGUCUGCCGCAGCAUUUGCUGCUGCUUAGAAAAAACCCCUCAUUUACUCAAUUGAAGCUUCCCUGUUGAUUUAAUUAAUGAAAAUUGAGACAUGUGUAAAACCUCUUUGUAAUUACCGUAACACUGUCGUGGUUUGGGGUUUGGUUUUUUUUUUUUCCUUUCUCCUUUUUCUUGUAUUUUUAAGGAAAAGAGAAAGGCCUGGAUUCACAAUAGCUUGUGAAGAUCCACGGCCCUGCAAGCUGAGCCCAGUGCGUGCAGUGAGAACUGCACAAGCUCUGGUAGAGGAGCUCAGUGUCCAGCGGUGGGCUGCGAUACCAGCCCCGAAGACCAGCGCAGAUGCAGGCGCAGGGCUGACCCCACUCCUAACCCAAACCCAGGCAGCACCAUCUUGAGCAGAAUUCCUUAGAUUCCUUUGAUUGUUCCGUGGACUCCUCCACUGCAUUUGGAUUAAAACGUAUUCUUAUCUGAAGAUCAGCAAGACCUUUGCAGCCACUGAUUUUCCUUGUGAGAUCUUUGCCGGGCAGCAGCACGUCAGUACAGCCAGCGCGAAGAUGGGUACGCUGCAGUGUGGAGAAAAAUUUGCUGAAGGUUAAUACAAAGACUGAGAAACACGGAUAGAAAGAAAUCUUGUAACCCUUCUCCCUACCUCUGAGAACAAGUUUCUUUUAAAUUAGUCUCCCCUAGCAGGUUAUUAAAUCGCUUAAACUGAUUGACUCAGGUCAAAUAGUAUAUUGGAUUUCUAGUUUUAAAAUGAACUUUGCUAAUGCAGUGACUGUUACCAGACUUAGCAAAUACUUGCUAAUAUUACUUACCAAGGUGCUUUAAAACAUUCUCUGAUUAACAAAUAAGCUGUCAGUCCAUCCACCGUGAGUGCUUAAGGGUGGCAAUUUAAUACUCAGGAAGCACAUUUUCUUAUUGGAGAUUAAAUAUUUUUGCAAGUUAAAAGAGCUGCCGUGGGCUGAGUUGUCACCUAAUUAUGUCAGUCUCUUUGUGGGAUAUUUUGAUAAGCACAUCAGAGGAGAUGCUUUAAUCUUUAUGCUAAAUCUGAUCACGUCACAUCCUAAAUUCACACGUACGAGUCCUCCCGAUGAGACCUUGACUUAUCUGUUUCACUGAGAGCAGAUGAACUGAAGCCGAGGGACCUCAUGUUUUGUCUGUGCCAAGAACGAGCCCCCGAGCAACCGGUGGGCAGUUACUGUGGCUGCCAGUUGCACGAGGGCAACGAUUUUAAGCUGAUAUCACCAGCUCAGAUGUAUCGUAGCUGCUGAGGCUGAGAGUAGGUCAUAUUCCUAAUUUAUAGAGCCUUUGUCCCUUUCUCUCUGGGAAUGUCUGCUGCAGGUUCUGCUGCGGUCCUUUAUUUUCUUCAGGAUGCACAAAUUUAUCUGGCUGAUGUGGUUAGAUUUGGGCUUGAAACGGUAUCUUCCUUCUCAAUCCCUGUUUUGGGGCUAAAUAGUGACAUGUUGGAGGAAAUUUCUCAUACUGCUGCUUGCUCUCUUUUUUUAUUUUUUGGAAAACCUGGAAUUAGAGCAAAAAGCUUUUGUUGGUGAUAAGGAAUCCAGCAGACAAAAACUACCACAGCCACAUGCUGCUAUGCUCGACGAAAAGAAGAGUCUGUUUAGAAUCGCAGUAAAUGUGUCGAUAAACACAAAUCAAA